UACAGAGGGUGCGAGCGUUAAUCGGAAUUACUGGGCGUAAAGCGCACGUAGGCGGCUUGGUAUGUCGGGUGUGAAAUCCCCGGGCUCAACCUGGGAACUGCAUCCGAAACUGCCUUGCUCGAGUAUGGGAGAGGGAAGUGGAAUUUCCGGUGUAGCGGUGAAAUGCGUAGAUAUCGGGAGGAACACCAGUGGCGAAGGCGGCGAUCUGGGUGGAUACUGACGCUGAGGUGCGAAAGCGUGGGGAGCAAACAGG
rnacentral:rRNA from 1 species